GGGUUGUGAGGUUAAGCGACUAAGCGUACACGGUGGAUGCCCUGGCAGUCAGAGGCGAUGAAGGACGUGCUAAUCUGCGAAAAGCGUCGGUAAGGUGAUAUGAACCGUUAUAACCGGCGAUGUCCGAAUGGGGAAACCCAGUGCAAUUCGUUGCACUAUCGUUAACUGAAUACAUAGGUUAACGAGGCGAACCGGGGGAACUGAAACAUCUAAGUACCCCGAGGAAAAGAAAUCAACCGAGAUUCCCCCAGUAGCGGCGAGCGAACGGGGAGCAGCCCAGAGUCUGAAUCAGCUUGUGUGUUAGUGGAACGGUCUGGAAAGUCCGACGGUACAGGGUGAUAGUCCCGUACACCAAAAUGCACAGGCUGUGAACUCGAAGAGUAGGGCGGGACACGUGGUAUCCUGUCUGAAUAUGGGGGGACCAUCCUCCAAGGCUAAAUACUCCUGACUGACCGAUAGUGAACCAGUACCGUGAGGGAAAGGCGAAAAGAACCCCGGCGAGGGGAGUGAAAAGAACCUGAAACCGUGUACGUACAAGCAGUGGGAGCACCUUCGGGUGUGACUGCGUACCUUUGUAUAAUGGGUCAGCGACUUAUAUUCUGUAGCAAGGUUAACCGUAUAGGGGAGCCGCAGGGAAACCGAGUCUUAACUGGGCGUUAAGUUGCAGGGUAUAGACCCGAAACCCGGUGAUCUAGCCAUGGGCAGGUUGAAGGUUGGGUAACACUAACUGGAGGACCGAACCGACUAAUGUUGAAAAAUUAGCGGAUGACUUGUGGCUGGGGGUGAAAGGCCAAUCAAACCGGGAGAUAGCUGGUUCUCCCCGAAAGCUAUUUAGGUAGCGCCUCGUGAACUCAUCUUCGGGGGUAGAGCACUGUUUCGGCUAGGGGGUCAUCCCGACUUACCAACCCGAUGCAAACUACGAAUACCGAAGAAUGUUAUCACGGGAGACACACGGCGGGUGCUAACGUCCGUCGUGAAGAGGGAAACAACCCAGACCGCCAGCUAAGGUCCCAAAGUCAUGGUUAAGUGGGAAACGAUGUGGGAAGGCACAGACAGCCGGAUGUUGGCUUAGAAGCAGCCAUCAUUUAAAGAAAGCGUAAUAGCUCACUGGUCGAGUCGGCCUGCGCGGAAGAUGUAACGGGGCUAAACCAUGCACCGAAGCUGCGGCAGCGACACUAUGUGUUGUUGGGUAGGGGAGCGUUCUGUAAGCCUGCGAAGGUGACCUGUGAGGGUUGCUGGAGGUAUCAGAAGUGCGAAUGCUGACAUAAGUAACGAUAAAGCGGGUGAAAAGCCCGCUCGCCGGAAGACCAAGGGUUCCUGUCCAACGUUAAUCGGGGCAGGGUGAGUCGACCCCUAAGGCGAGGCCGAAAGGCGUAGUCGAUGGGAAACAGGUUAAUAUUCCUGUACUUGGUGUUACUGCGAAGGGGGGACGGAGAAGGCUAUGUUAGCCGGGCGACGGUUGUCCCGGUUUAAGCAUGUAGGCUGAUUGUCCAGGCAAAUCCGGAUAAUCAAGGCUGAGGUGUGAUGACGAGGCACUACGGUGCUGAAGUAACAAAUGCCCUGCUUCCGUGAAAAGCCUCUAAGCAUCAGGUAACAUCAAAUCGUACCCCAAACCGACACAGGUGGUCAGGUAGAGAAUACCAAGGCGCUUGAGAGAACUCGGGUGAAGGAACUAGGCAAAAUGGUGCCGUAACUUCGGGAGAAGGCACGCUGGUGUGUAGGUGAAGUCCCUGCGGAUGGAGCUGAGACCAGUCGAAGAUACCAGCUGGCUGCAACUGUUUAUUAAAAACACAGCACUGUGCAAACACGAAAGUGGACGUAUACGGUGUGACGCCUGCCCGGUGCCGGAAGGUUAAUUGAUGGGGUUAUCCGUAAGGAGAAGCUCUUGAUCGAAGCCCCGGUAAACGGCGGCCGUAACUAUAACGGUCCUAAGGUAGCGAAAUUCCUUGUCGGGUAAGUUCCGACCUGCACGAAUGGCGUAAUGAUGGCGGGCUGUCUCCACCCGAGACUCAGUGAAAUUGAACUCGCUGUGAAGAUGCAGUGUACCCGCGGCAAGACGGAAAGACCCCGUGAACCUUUACUAUAGCUUGACACUGAACAUUGAGCCUUGAUGUGUAGGAUAGGUGGGAGGCUUUGAAGCGUGGACGCCAGUCUGCGUGGAGCCAACCUUGAAAUACCACCCUUUAAUGUUUGAUGUUCUAACGUUGGCCCCUUACCGGGGUUGCGGACAGUGUCUGGUGGGUAGUUUGACUGGGGCGGUCUCCUCCCAAAGCGUAACGGAGGAGCACGAAGGUUAGCUAAUCCUGGUCGGACAUCAGGAGGUUAGUGCAAUGGCAUAAGCUAGCUUGACUGCGAGCGUGACGGCGCGAGCAGGUGCGAAAGCAGGUCAUAGUGAUCCGGUGGUUCUGAAUGGAAGGGCCAUCGCUCAACGGAUAAAAGGUACUCCGGGGAUAACAGGCUGAUACCGCCCAAGAGUUCAUAUCGACGGCGGUGUUUGGCACCUCGAUGUCGGCUCAUCACAUCCUGGGGCUGAAGUAGGUCCCAAGGGUAUGGCUGUUCGCCAUUUAAAGUGGUACGCGAGCUGGGUUUAGAACGUCGUGAGACAGUUCGGUCCCUAUCUGCCGUGGGCGCUGGAGAAUUGAGGGGGGCUGCUCCUAGUACGAGAGGACCGGAGUGGACGCAUCACUGGUGUUCGGGUUGUCAUGCCAAUGGCACUGCCCGGUAGCUAAAUGCGGAAGAGAUAAGUGCUGAAAGCAUCUAAGCACGAAACUUGCCCCGAGAUGAGUUCUCCCUGAGACUUUAAGUCUCCUGAAGGAACGUUAAAGACGAUGACGUUGAUAGGCCGGGUGUGUAAGCGCAGCGAUGCGUUGAGCUAACCGGUACUAAUGAACCGUGAGGCUUAACCUUACAACGCCGAAG
rnacentral:rRNA from 1 species